rnacentral:lncRNA from 1 species
CUUUUAUUUUGAAAUAAAAGACGAAGACAACUAAACAAAACAAAACGCGCCAGGUGUUCUCACCGGAGAAAGUGGACUAUCAAACUAAUCUUUUAAUAUGAACGACAUGAAACUUACCUGAAGAAUGAAUGAGUCUGUCUGUUCCUGCCUCUGCUUGUCCCUCAGGGUCCAGGUCAUCUCAGAAACCUACACACACACGUACACACUCACACACACACAGACACCACAGGCUUCACCCUAUAUCUGGGCAGCUUUAGUCUGUCAGCAUCUCAGUGCACAAUCCCAUCAGAUACACACACUGACCCACAAACAACACACACACACACACACACACAUUGAGAUGCAGGGGUCUUUGUGCAGCCCUUCAGCCGAGGGAGCAGGAGUCUGCGAAGGGGAAAUAAAAGCAGGGUUAUCAUCUACAGCCGCAAAUGUGUCUGGCGUGAAGAGAAAGGCCAUUUUGAUUGCCCGUCCAAGAGAGUGAGUGCAAAACAUUGUGUAUAAUAACAUAUGGUAAUGCAGCUGUUUUUAUGGCCCUGUUUUUGUCCCUAUCCGUCCCAUCUCGCCGCUCCCAAAUGCUCCCAUUUACACUCAUCUCCACAAUUUAGAGAAUUCCUGCAAUGCUGGCACACACACACACACACAAAACAGCGGCAGAUGAGAAAGGCUUCUUUAGUGUUUUCUCUCUCUCUCUUUCUCUCUCUCUCCAGAACAGUUUGUGUUUUUCAGCUCCGGUGAAUUUAAAGAAUUGCAGAGUUAUCGUGGCUUCACCCCCA